rnacentral:rRNA from 1 species
GACGAACGCUGGCGGCGUGCUUAACACAUGCAAGUCGAACGGGCCUUGUCCCCUUUUUUUUUGGGGGUGGGGUUAGUGGCGAACGGGUGAGUAACACGUGAGUAACCUGCCCCUCACUUCUGGAUAACCGCUUGAAAGGGUGGCUAAUACGGGGUGUUCUGGCCUGCUCGCAUGGGUGGGUUUGGAAAGAUUCGACCGGUUUUGGUUGUUUUGGUGGGGGAUGGGCUCGCGGCCUAUCAGCUUGUUGGUGGGGUGAUGGCCUGCCAAGGCUUUGACGGGUAGCCGGCCUGAGAGGGUGGGCGGUCACACUGGGACUGAGACACGGCCCAGACUCCUACGGGAGGCAGCAGUGGGGAAUAUUGCACGAUGGGCGCAAGCCUGAUGCAGCGACGCCGCGUGAGGGAUGGAGGUCUUCGGGUUGUGAACCUCUUUCGCCAGUGAAGAAGGUCCUGCUCUUUGUGGUGGGGUUGACGGUAGCUGGGUUAAUGAAGCGCCGGCUAACUACGUG